GAGAGGUUUGUUUUGUUCAUGUGUGGAGAGGAGGCUGCAGUCAGUGAUGAUUUUACAACACGCUGUCUCCUGCUGUUUAAAGUAUUUAGGCUGGGAUGAAAUGUUUUCUAAUAAUUAGUGAUUUUUGUGUUUGUUUAUUACCUGCACGGAGUUCCGUGAAAAGGAAAGCAUCCCUUUUCUGUGUUGAAUUUCACACACAGAGCGGAGCGCGUCAGUCGCAGCUACAGACAAGUCGAGCUUUUCAAUGAGAUGAUUUACUGAGAAACAAACGCGUUGAAGCUCCAGCAGAGCUCUGCGCGAUUCUGAAAGACCAAAGUAAAGUUACUCCUUGCAAAGCAUGUUGUUUGUGUUCUUUCUUUAUCACACCAGAAGAAGUGAUGAAUAUAUUUGAAUGGGAAGGCUACAGUAAAAAAUAAAUAUUACUAAAUACAAACCGCAGCCGGUGUUUCUGUUUGAAAAGAGGAUUCCGCUAGACCAGUGUGAAACUCAAACCAGUGAAGAUGGACGCGUCAGCGUGUCCGUGUCGCUCUUUCAAGACGAGCUCGCCUCUACCAUCGAGCACGCAGUGAAAGCGGCUCUACACACCGUCUUGUGCGCGAUUACUAAAGCUGUCGUCAGCAAAUUCACUGAAUUCAGAGUGGAAAUGUAACAAAAAGGAGAAAGAGAAUGAAAGUCUGAAGCUGAGAUUGGAAAUAUCAGAGAACGAGCUGAAAGCUGUGCGAGCGUGUAUAAACGCUGCAGAUGCAGACAUUAAACAGCCUUUAAUAUUUCAAGAUCCCAAAGAGAGCCACGCUAUCCCUGAAUCUGAAGCACAGGAAGGGCCAAAGAUAGAAGCAGGAGUGGUGUGCAAGUCUAAUGCAGGUUACAAAGCUGGCAUGUGUUAAAGAUGAAGAGGUCCCUCAACAGGAAUGUGUUCCUAUUAAAGAGGAAUUCAUAGAGCAGGAAUGUGUCCCCAUCGCAGAGGAACUUCCUCAUGAAAAUCAUGUCUGUACACUUGAGGAGAACAAGAAGCUGGGAUCCAACCUGUGUGGUGACUCUCCAUCUGAAUGUGAACUGGGAUUUAGAGGUAAUCCUACAAAACAAGCAGCAUUGAGCUGCCUGUUCAUCCUGCAGAACCUGGUACUGAACACCAGCAGUGUGCUUGAGAUUCAUAUUUUAACCAAGGGGAGCUGCCCAACCAUUAUGUCAACAAGGACAUCACUGUGCUUGCUCCUGAGGCACCUGCUAGAUGUGCUGCCGCUGCCACGUCUCUUGAGAAUGCUGUGAGAUCAGCGGUGUCCAAUCACGCUCCUGGAGGCCAUUCCGCUGGAGGCAGAGGAUUCAGGCGACAGUGAUGCUGAGCUGGACAGUGAUGGACUCAAAGGAGAGCGGGAGUUGGGAGACAAUAUGAUGGAGAAAAGAGCUGACAGUGAGUACAGAUGGCCUAUAGCUUCUUCUGUUGAGUGUGUUUCUGCCUGCCUGUCUGUCUGUCUGUCUGUCUGUCUGCCCGUCUGUCUGUUACACUGAAGCAGAAGAGGAAAACACAAAGCUUGAGGGAUAUACACUUUGAAAAUAUUUCACCUGUUUGCAUUUAACAUGUGCAUUUAAAUGUGUUGAUGCAGCACCUUUAAUAAGACGUAUUGUAUUAAUUGAUCACCUUAAAUGUCAGUAAGAAGGAUCACCCAACUGAGAUAUAAUAACUUGACUAAAAGGUUGUCCUGUUCCCUUACCUUUUUAUCAAUCAAUGUUUAUUUUAUAUAGCGCCUUUCAUAGUUGACCACAGUUGUUUUGUGCGAUUGUUCUGUGUGAUUCUUUUCAUAUGUAAUGCAGACUGAAAUAUCUUUCUGUUAGUAAGUGCCAUCACCAUCUAGUGCAUAGCAGUGAAUUGAAAGCAGAAGGAAGCGUGAUCCAGUCACUGGCUCUUCUAUAAAGACACUUUGACUGAUCCAGCCUACAUUAUGUACAUAUAUCUAAGACAGGCAACUAGAACUGAAGAGCAGCUCCUGAACUCAGGUGAAAACAUUGUAACACACACUCUAACAAAAUAAAAUCUGAAGCUCCUUACUGUUCAGCAAUAUUCUUUAAUGUACAUUGAAAUCCUAAUCCAAAUUUGGAGAGUUCCUCAACAUGGUCUGUGUUUAAAUAGAAGGGAUGCAACCUACUGUUUGUUUAAUGAUCUUCACAUGCUUUCUGUCUCCUGAAGUGGAUUCUGAAGUGGUCCUGACACAGUCCAUGGUAGUGAAGAAGGAUGCCCUGUCCAAAAGAUACUACAGAAGU